rnacentral:lncRNA from 12 species
CCCGGAGUCGCUCCCAUGCUGCUGACAGUUCGGUUUAUCGCCAGAAUAAUUCAUGCUUCCCUUCGCUUUAAUCUGCCCCUCCCAGAAGUUCGUGUUCCGAAGGGUUUCGUUGUCCGUUCGCUUUUCUCCCGCGAUCAGUCAGUGAAUGGCCCUGGCCUCUUCUGUGUCGGCCAAAGCACUCAGCGAAGAAAUCUGCGGAGGUGCAAUCUGUGGAUUAUUCUGGUUCGUUCCCCAGACCUGGAUGAGGAACACAUCUCCACCUAGGCACAGCAAGAGGUGCAGGAGCCAUGCCUUCCCAAGACUUUGUGGAGUUUCCUGAUGAUGUAUGGGAUCCCAGAAAUACUAAUUUAAUAAUUCAGCUUUUAAGUCUCUUGACUUUGCCCUUAGUAAAAAAUCUAGCAUUCUUCAUAUUCUUCAUGAUGUGACUUUUGGGACCAAACAUAGUCAUCAUUUCCAGCAUAAUACAUUUUCUCCCCCUGUUUCUCUAGGGUAUUCAGCUACUCCUCUAGAACUCAG